rnacentral:rRNA from 1 species
UACGAGGGGGGCAAGCGUUGUUCGGAAUUAUUGGGCGUAAAGGGCGCGUAGGCGGUUUGACAAGUCUGAUGUGAAAUCUAUGGGCUCAACUCAUAGUCUGCAUUAGAAACUGUCGGGCUUGAGUAUGGGGAGAGGUGAGUGGAAUUUCCGGUGUAGCGGUGAAAUGCGUAGAUAUCGGAAGGAACACCAGUGGCGAAAAGCGGCUUCCCUGG